UCAGCAGAUAUAAUAAUGACUCAGUCUCCUAAAUCUCAGUCUGUUAGUCCAGGAGAGACUGUCUCUAUCAGCUGUACAGCCAGUUCAAGUACUGGUAAUAAUCUCCACUGGUACCUACAGAAACCUGGAGAAGCUCCUAAACUCCUGGUUUAUUCUGGUACAACCCAUCAGUCUGGGAUUCCAGGUCGUUUCAGUGGGAGUGGAUCUGGUAGUUCAUAUACUCAUUACACUCUGACCAUCAGUGGAAUCCAGGCUGAAGAUGCAGGAGAUUACUACUGUCAGCAGGGUGCCAGCUUUCCUUUCACACAGUGGUGGUACACUUUUGGUGGAGGCACCAGACUGGAUGUUGGAAGUGAGAUCAGUCCCACCCUGACAGUCCUGUCACCCUACAGUUCGGAGCUGCAGCAGGGGAAGGCCGCUCUCAUGACCAACAUGGGCUUCCCCUCAGAGUGGAGGCUGAGCUGGAAGCUGGAUGAUAGCAUCAGCAGCAGAAGCACCUCAUCAGUGUCUCCGGAUGAUGUCAUCAAAAACACUUAUCUGCAUCUAUCUUUCUGA